AAGACGCUAGUAAAAUUGUAAAUUACAUUGCUUUGUCAAGGCAAAAGUGUGGGUUAAAACCCCGCGUGUCUUA
rnacentral:tRNA from 1 species